rnacentral:rRNA from 1 species
AGAUUGAACGCUGGCGGCAGGCUUAACACAUGCAAGUCGAGCGGUAGCAGGUCCUUCGGGAUGCUGACGAGCGGCGGACGGGUGAGUAAUACAUAGGAAACUGCCCAGUAGUGGGGGAUAGCCCGGGGAAACCCGGAUUAAUACCGCAUACGCCCUUUGGGGGAAAGCAGGGGAUCUUCGGACCUUGCGCUAUUGGAUGUGCCUAUGUCGGAUUAGCUAGUUGGUGGGGUAAAGCCUACCAAGGCGACGAUCCGUAGCUGGUCUGAGAGGAUGAUCAGCCACAUCGGGACUGAGACCGACGGCCCGAACUCCGUAACGGGAGGACCAGCAGGUAGGGGAAUAGUUAGGACAAGGUGGGGGACAACCCUGAUCCAGCCAGUCGCGCGUGUGUGAAGAAGGUCGUUUGGGUGUAAGCUACUUCGAGU